UACGUAGGUGGCAAGCGUUAUCCGGAUUUACUGGGUGUAAAGGGCGUGUAGGCGGGGAAGCAAGUCAGAUGUGAAAACCACGGGCUCAACCUGUGGCCUGCAUUUGAAACUGUUUUUCUUGAGUGCUGGAGAGGCAAUCGGAAUUCCGUGUGUAGCGGUGAAAUGCGUAGAUAUACGGAGGAACACCAGUGGCGAAGGCGUAUUGCUGGACAGUAACUGACGCUGAGGCGCGAAAGCGUGGGGAGCAAACAGG
rnacentral:rRNA from 1 species